rnacentral:rRNA from 1 species
CCUACGGGAGGCUGCAGUGGGGAAUAUUGGACAAUGGGCGCAAGCCUGAUCCAGCAAUGCCGCGUGUGUGAAGAAGGCCUGCGGGUUGUAAAGCACUUUAAGCAGGAAAGAAGGGGUGGAAGUUAAUACCUUUCAUCAUUGACGUUACCUGCAGAAUAAGCACCGGCUAACUCCGUGCCAGCAGCCGCGGUAAUACGGAGGGUGCAAGCGUUGCUCGGAACUACCGGACGUGAAGCGAUCAUAGGGUGUUGAAAGCCCCGGGCUUAACCUGGGAACUGCGGUGGAUACUGUCGAGCUAGAGUGUGGUAGAGGGGAGUGGAAUUUCCGGUGUAGCAGUGAAAUGCGUAGAGAUCGGAAGGAACACCAGUGGCGAAGGCGGCUCCCUGGACUAACACUGACGCUGAGGUGCGAAAGCGUGGGGAGCAAACAGGAUUAGAUACCCCUGUAGUC